AGCUUGCUCCCUGAUAUUAGCGGCGGACGGGUGAGUAACACGUGGGUAACCUGCCUGUAAGAUUGGGAUAACUCCGGGAAACCGGAGCUAAUACCGGAUAACAUUUUGAACCGCAUGGUUCGAAAUUGAAAGAUGGUUUCGGCUAUCACUUACAGAUGGACCCGCGGCGCAUUAGCUAGUUGGUGAGGUAACGGCUCACCAAGGCAACGAUGCGUAGCCGACCUGAGAGGGUGAUCGGCCACACUGGGACUGAGACACGGCCCAGACUCCUACGGGAGGCAGCAGUAGGGAAUCUUCCGCAAUGGACGAAAGUCUGACGGAGCAACGCCGCGUGAACGAUGAAGGCCUUCGGGUCGUAAAGUUCUGUUGUUAGGGAAGAACAAGUACCAGAGUAACUGCUGGUACCUUGACGGUACCUAACCAGAAAGCCACGGCUAACUACGUGCCAGCAGCCGCGGUAAUACGUAGGUGGCAAGCGUUGUCCGGAAUUAUUGGGCGUAAAGCGCGCGCAGGUGGUUUCUUAAGUCUGAUGUGAAAGCCCACGGCUCAACCGUGGAGGGUCAUUGGAAACUGGGGAACUUGAGUGCAGAAGAGGAAAGUGGAAUUCCAAGUGUAGCGGUGAAAUGCGUAGAGAUUUGGAGGAACACCAGUGGCGAAGGCGACUUUUCUGGUCUGUACUGACACUGAGGCGCGAAA
rnacentral:rRNA from 2 species